rnacentral:rRNA from 1 species
UACGUAGGGGGCAAGCGUUGUCCGGAAUUAUUGGGCGUAAAGCGCGCGCAGGCGGCUUUGUAAGUCUGGUGUUUAAUCUCGGAGCUCAACUCCGAUUCGCAUUGGAAACUGCAAGGCUUGAGUGCAGAAGAGGAAAGUGGAAUUCCACGUGUAGCGGUGAAAUGCGUAGAGAUGUGGAGGAACACCGGUGGCGAAGGCGGCAUCCUGGACCGGCAUUGACGCUGAGGCGCGAAAGCUAGGGGAGCAAACGGG